rnacentral:rRNA from 1 species
ACGCACAGCGAAAGGUGCUUGCACCUUUCAAGUGAGUGGCGAACGGGUGAGUAACACGUGGACAACCUGCCUCAAGGCUGGGGAUAACAUUUGGAAACAGAUGCUAAUACCGAAUAAAACUUAGUGUCGCAUGACAAAAAGUUAAAAGGCGCUUCGGCGUCACCUAGAGAUGGAUCCGCGGUGCAUUAGUUAGUUGGUGGGGUAAAGGCCUACCAAGACAAUGAUGCAUAGCCGAGUUGAGAGACUGAUCGGCCACAUUGGGACUGAGACACGGCCCAAACUCCUACGGGAGGCUGCAGUAGGGAAUCUUCCACAAUGGGCGAAAGCCUGAUGGAGCAACGCCGCGUGUGUGAUGAAGGCUUUCGGGUCGUAAAGCACUGUUGUAUGGGAAGAACAGCUAGAAUAGGAAAUGAUUUUAGUUUGACGGUACCAUACCAGAAAGGGACGGCUAAAUACGUGCCAGCAGCCGCGGUAAUACGUAUGUCCCGAGCGUUAUCCGGAUUUAUUGGGCGUAAAGCGAGCGCAGACGGUUUAUUAAGUCUGAUGUGAAAGCCCGGAGCUCAACUCCGGAAUGGCAUUGGAAACUGGUUAACUUGAGUGCAGUAGAGGUAAGUGGAACUCCAUGUGUAGCGGUGGAAUGCGUAGAUAUAUGGAAGAACAC